ensembl:lncRNA
CUUAACGCGUUAUUGAACGUGUUGUGUUCGUAUUCUGGGCUCAUAUCUGCUUGUCUGUACACUACUCCGUCCUACACCAACUACGCACACAUUUCCUAUUAUGUAUGUCUAGGAAAGACGAUCGAACCAAUCAGAGUAGGUAUGGGGCGGGGCGACACGUGCAGCCCCGCCUCGAUCUGCAGGCUGCAGCCGGGUGUACUUGAUGGCUGUAGCUGGAGUAGGUUAAGCUCCACCCAUUGCGUCCAGAGAGAGAGAAGGGGUGCUGGACGUCAUUUAGCUCUGCAAAGUUAGCGCCACUGCAAAAUAAUAGUCCUAAAAGCAGUAUGUCACAACUGCAGCUACGAUCAACAGAGAUCCAGCAGCAGCAGAAAUCAGCACUAUGUACAAUAAAGUUCAUAUCUUCCUGUUCUUUGUCUUUACUGCUGCAGUUGGGACAUCAGAUAUCAGAUACCAGAACAACCUGCCCCACUUCAUUGCUGUUGCUAUGUCUGACAAGCCAUGAUGGUGAAAAAUACAUCACAGAACAAAGAGGAAUCUGGCAGCACACCAACAGACAAGAUAGAGCAGGUUACUUUAGGUAUGAAACAAAGUCUCAACUUUCAAAGUUUGUCAUUUUUUAAGAAAUUUGAACAAUAAAUACCAUUUUGUGGCUCCAUUCACUAGCACUAUUAUGAAUCUACAUUCCCUCUAGAAGUCUGAGAUCUACUAGUGAGCAACGCCUUGUGGUGCCAUCACAGAGAGGCACAAAAUCACAUUCCAGAACAUUCUCUUUCACCGUUCCUGGCUGGUAGAGUGAUCUUCCCACUCCUAUCGUGAAUGCUGACUCCCAGAUAAUCUUCAAGCGACAGCUGAAAACUCAUCUCUUUCUUCACCAUCUAACUUCAUCUUAAAAAAAAACACCUUUGCUUCUCUUUACUUAUUCCCCUGUCUAGCUCGUACUAUUUGAACAAUGCCUGAAACUUGGUAUUAUGAGCACUUCCUGUGUCUAUUUGCCUCUUUAAGAUGAAUCGUCUGACGUAUUCCCCAAUUUGAAAUUGCUUUGGAUAAAUGAAUAAAUCUAAAUGUUAACAGGUUUAAUGUGUUGUGAAAGAUUGCUGUAACACCUCAAUUGAGAAAAGAUGGCAACAUACACAAUUUUUCAAGUUCAGGUCCACUAACAUUAAUCUACUCCGGUCUGGUUUGUUUGACUAAAGGCAGAUUCUAUAUUAUGAUUGGUCAGAUCGCCUGUCAAUCAAACUCCCUGCAGGAGCUGCAGUCAGAGUGUGCAGUUACAAAAUCUACCAGCAGGUGCAAAUGGGACAAGACUGUAACUGAUGGUCUUUUUUUUUCCCUCUGCUCAAGGUUUUUCCUCUUCUACAACUGGGUUAAAGAUUGUUAGGCCAGACUCAAGGUCUUUCUCUACUACUGUGUGUGUCAGUGAAAGAUUACUAAUGUUUAGGCUACAUGAUAAUGUUAUUGUUCUGCUUGCUGGUGGAACUGUAAAAUGUAUAUAUUAUAAUUCCACAAGACUCUCACAUUACUCAUUUCCACUAUUUACCUUGUUUUUUUUAUUUUUAAAAUAACUAAAAUAAUUAUAGCUGCAAGCAGAAAAUACAGGGCCAGGCACUACAGAAGCAAGCAUCAGACCAACUGCAGAAAUUAGUAAUUGACGCCAUUUUAGGAUGAUUUUAGUCAAAACUGCUGAAAAAAAUCAUAAAUACAAUCUCUAGUAACAUGAUUUAUUGGCUUAUCAUGUUUGACCAAUAGGUGGCGCUGUUAUCAAAUCGAUGUGGUGUGUUCUGUGUGAGUUGACAAUGGCACACACAACGUUUGGUGUCAGUAUGCCAAAGCAUUGCAGAGAGACAGCCUCAAGUGUCGUUUUGGCAUCAUUCUUCAUUAUUAACUUUCUCAAAUUCACUAUUCACUGUCUCAAAUCUUUUUGAGUACUUUCAGGUCAUUGUCUCGAUGGUACACAAGUUUUUGUAAUGGUACACUAAUGCAUUUGUAAAAUAUAGUUUUAUAUCAUAAUAAUAAUCUAUUGUAGUCAACGGCAAUUUCAUGUUUUGUUCAAUAAUAGCGCCACCAAGAGGCACAGUCCCACCAAAUUUUGUAUGUGUCCUUAGAGGUGCCCAUACAUAUGUGUGUCAAAUUUGGUUAAAAUAUUAUAGACUUUUUUUAUAUAUGAGAACAGAAA